rnacentral:rRNA from 1 species
GAUGAACGCUGACAGAAUGCUUAACACAUGCAAGUCAACUUGAAUUUGGGUUUUUAACUUAGGUUUGGGUGGCGGACGGGUGAGUAACGCGUAAAGAACUUGCCUCACAGCUAGGGACAACAUUUGGAAACGAAUGCUAAUACCUAAUAUUAUGAUAAUAGGGCAUCCUAUAAUUAUGAAAGCUAUAAGCGCUGUGAGAGAGCUUUGCGUCCCAUUAGCUAGUUGGAGAGGUAACGGCUCACCAAGGCGAUGAUGGGUAGCCGGCCUGAGAGGGUGAUCGGCCACAAGGGGACUGGGACACGGCCCUUACGCAUACGGGAGGCAGCAGUGGGGAAUAUUGGAAGAAGGGCCGAGAGUCUGAUCCAGCAAUUCUGUGUGCACGAUGAAGUUUUUCGGAAUGUAAAGUGCUUUCAGUUGGGAAGAAACAAAUGACGGUACCAACAGAAGAAGUGACGGCUAAAUACGUG